rnacentral:tRNA from 1 species
CGGGAUGUAGCUCAGUUUGGAAGAGUUUCUGUUUUGGGAAUAGAUUGUCAUAGGUUCAAAUCCUAUCAUUCCGA